rnacentral:rRNA from 1 species
CCUACGGGUGGCUGCAGUGAGGAAUAUUGGUCAAUGGACGAGAGUCUGAACCAGCCAAGUAGCGUGAAGGAUGACUGCCCUAUGGGUGGUAAACUUCUUUUAUAUGGGAGUAAAAUGUUCCACGUGUGGGAUUUUGUAUGUACCAUAUGAAUAAGGAUCGGCUAACUCCGUGCCAGCGGCCGGGGUAAUACGGAGGAUCCGGGCGUUAUCCGGAUUUAUUGGGUUUAAAGGGAGCGUAGGUGGAUUGUUAAGUCAGUUGUGAAAGUUUGCGGCUCAACCGUAAAAUUGCAGUUGAAACUGGCCGUCUUGAGUACAGUAGAGGUGGGCGGAAUUCCUGGUGUAGCGGUGAAAUGCUUAGAUAUCACGAAGAACUCCGAUUGCGAAGGCAGUUCACUGGACUGCAACUGACACUGAGGCUCGAAAGUGUGGGUAUCAAACAGGAUUAGAUACCCCAGUAGUC